rnacentral:rRNA from 1 species
ACUCCUACGGGAGGCAGCAGUGGGGAAUUUUGGACAAUGGGGGAAACCCUGAUCCAGCCAUCCCGCGUGUGCGAUGAAGGCCUUCGGGUUGUAAAGCACUUUUGGCAGGAAAGAAACGUCGCGGGUUAAUACCCCGCGAAACUGACGGUACCUGCAGAAUAAGCACCGGCUAACUACGUGCCAGCAGCCGCGGUAAUACGUAGGGUGCAAGCGUUAAUCGGAAUUACUGGGCGUAAAGCGUGCGCAGGCGGUUCGGAAAGAAAGAUGUGAAAUCCCAGAGCUUAACUUUGGAACUGCAUUUUUAACUACCGGGCUAGAGUGUGUCAGAGGGAGGUGGAAUUCCGCGUGUAGCAGUGAAAUGCGUAGAUAUGCGGAGGAACACCGAUGUCGAAGGCAGCCUCCUGGGAUAACACUGACGCUCAUGCACGAAAGCGUGGGGAGCAAACAGGAUUAGAUACCCUGGUA